rnacentral:rRNA from 1 species
GACGAACGCUGGCGGCGUGCUUAACACAUGCAAGUCGAACGGUAAGGCCCUUCGGGGUACACGAGUGGCGAACGGGUGAGUAACACGUGGGUGAUCUGCCCUGCACUUCGGGAUAAGCCUGGGAAACUGGGUCUAAUACCGGAUAGGACUCCGGACUGCAUGGUCUGGGGUGGAAAGUUUUUGCGGUGUGGGAUGGGCCCGCGGCCUAUCAGCUUGUUGGUGGGGUGAUGGCCUACCAAGGCGACGACGGGUAGCCGGCCUGAGAGGGUGACCGGCCACACUGGGACUGAGAUACGGCCCAGACUCCUACGGGAGGCAGCAGUGGGGAAUAUUGCACAAUGGGCGCAAGCCUGGUGCAGCGACGCCGCGUGAGGGAUGACGGCCUUCGGGUUGUAAACCUCUUUCAGCAUCGACGAAGCGAAAGUGACGGUAGGUGCAGAAGAAGGACCGGCCAACUACGUGCCAGCAGCCGCCGUAA